CCGAGGGCCGCCGAGCGCAAGAGAAAAUCAUAUAAUGAAGGUGGAUGUAUCCAUUACCCAGCUUCCAUAUCAACUCAGGACAAGUCUUGUUUCAACCAUACUCCCUCAUCUACUGUGUGUGUCUGUAAAAGAUAAGAACUAUUUUCAAAAAGUAGCCACAAUACCAUUAUCAUACCUAAAAAAACAAUAAUUCUUUAAUAUCAUUAAAUGCCCAGUGAGUGAUUUCCAGUUAUCUCCUAAAAACAGAAAUUAUUUUUGUAAUAAGAAAAAAAAGGCUGAAAAAGAUAAAAUUGUCAAUCCAAAGAGCAGAUUAGUACAAGUUUCCUGGAGCUUUGUUUAGUGAUACUUAUCAAGAGCCUUAACAAUGUGCUUACCUUUUGCCCUAGUAAUCCCAACCUGUGAAUUUAUUCUAAGAAGAAAAAAGAACAUUGAAGAGGUAUACAAACAUUGUUCACUAGAGUGUGCAGUGUCUGUUACAGAGAAGUUGUUUGAAAACUAUUUGUUGAGGCCAGAUGUGGUGGCUUACAUCUGUAAUACUAGUACUUUGGGAGACUGAGGCAGGAGGAUUGCUUGAGGCCAGGAGUUCCAGACCAGCCUGAGCAACAUAGCAAUACCCCAUCUCUACAAAAACAUUUUUUAAAAAUUAGCCAGGCAUGGUGGCUCAUGCCCAUAAUUCUAACUACUUGGGAGGCCAAGACAGGAGGGUUGCUUGAACCUAGGAUUUCAAGGCUAUAGUGAGCUGUGAUCACAUCACUAAAACUCCAGCCUGGAUGACAGAGCAAGACCCUAUCUCAAAAGAAAAAAAAACAAACCACAAUUUUUUUUGAAUUUGAAGUUGAGCUCCUGCUGUGGUUUGCAGCUUUGUUUGUAAAAGAAAAGCUGAAAGUCAUGGAAGUGUGUGACAUUAGGGUACUGGCUAAAUAAAUGAGGGCAGAUCCAUAAAAUGAAACAUUGUUCUGUCAUGUAAAAUCAGAUUCUAAUAAUACACAUAGAUAACCACCGCUUCCAAGAGGCAGAACUUCAUCCUCAUCCUCUAAUGGACUAUGGAAAGAAGAAAAACAGUCCUUUUACAGUGAAGAAACUCAGCAGAUGCUCCCUCAACAUCGCUGGUGGUAAGUCUUGUGGCUACUGGGUACCCCCUGAUACAAUGACAGGGGCACCUCACCUCUGUGAUCUUUUACCCAAAAACUAAUAACCUCAGUCUCAUGAGAAAAACAUCAGACAAACUCAGAUGAGGGGCAUUCUACAAAAUACGUGAGCAGCACUCUUCGAAUGUGUCAAGGUCGUGAAAAACAAGAAAAGACUCAGAACUGUUAGGGACCAGAGGAGCCUCAGGAGAUGACGGAGACUGAAUGCCAUGUGGGAUGCCGGAUGAGAUCAUGGAACAGAAAAAGGGCAUUAGUGGGAAACUGGCGAAAUCCUAAUAGAGUCUGUCGUCCAGCUAAUAAUGUUUUACUAAUGUUAACUUUUUAGUUUUGACAAAUGUAGCAUGAUUAUGUAAGAUGUUCACAUUAGGGGAAGGUGGGGGAAGAGUAUGGGAACUUUGUGGAACUUUGCUGUAAAUCUAAAAUCACUAAACAAAAAUUAUUCAAAAAAUCAGGGUGUAGAUAUUUAUUAGUAUAGAAAUGUAUUCACAACAUAUUAAGGGGAAAGUAUGUAUGGCCUCACAUAGUUUUUGCUGAAUGAGACCGUAUUUGUAAAAACUCUAAUAACAAGGUGUAUGUCUACAUGAAUGUGUAUAUAUGCACAUGUAGGCUGGGCACGGUGGCUCAUGCCUGUAAUCCCAGCACUUUGGGAGGCCAGGGUGGGCGGAUCACCUGAGGUUAGGAGUUCG
rnacentral:lncRNA from 1 species